rnacentral:rRNA from 1 species
AGAGUUUGAUCCUGGCUCAGGACGAACGCUGGCGGCGUGCUUCAUACAUGCAAGUCGAACGAGAAGUCACCUUCGGGUGAUGGAAAGUGGCGGACGGGUGAGUAAUGUGUAGAGAAUCUGCCCUUGAGUGGGGGACAACAGUUGGAAACGACUGCUAAUACCCCAUAUGAGCUUAGCUGAAAUGCUAAUCUUGAAAACUCCGGUGCUCAAGGAUGAGUCUGCAUCUGAUUAGCUAGUUGGCGGUGUAAUGGACCACCAAGGCUACGAUCAGUAGCUGGUUUGAGAGGAUGAUCAGCCACAAUGGGACUGAGACACGGCCCAUACUCCUACGGGAGGCAGCAGUAGGGAAUUUUGCGCAAUGGGGGAAACCCUGACGCAGCAACGCCGCGUGAAUGAUUAAGCCCUUCGGGGUGUAAAGUUCUGUCAGUAGGGACGAAACUUGACGGUACCUACAGAGGAAGCACCGGCUAACUCCGUGCCAGCAGCCGCGGUAAUACGGAGGGUGCGAGCGUUGUCCGGAAUCAUUGGGCGUAAAGAGUUCGUAGGUGGCAUGUAAAGUCCGGUGUUAAAUGCAGGAGCUCAACUUCUGUUCGGCACUGGAUACUUGCAAGCUAGAAUUCGGUAGAGGUAAAGGGAAUUCCUGGUGUAGCGGUGAAAUGCGUAGAUAUCAGGAGGAACAUCGGUGGCGUAAGCGCUUUACUGGGCCGAGAUUGACACUGAGGAACGAAAGCCGGGGUAGCAAAUGGGAUUAGAUACCCCAGUAGUCCCGGCCGUAAACGAUGGAUACUAGGUGUUGCGGGUAUCGACCCCUGCAGUGCCGGAGCUAACGCGUUAAGUAUCCCGCCUGGGGAGUACGCACGCAAGUGUGAAACUCAAAGGAAUUGACGGGGACCCGCACAAGCGGUGGAACAUGUGGUUUAAUUCGAAGCAACGCGAAAAACCUUACCAGGGCUUGACAUCUAACAAACCUUUAUGAAAGUAGAGGGUGCUCUUCGGAGAAUGUUAAGACAGGUGGUGCAC